rnacentral:rRNA from 1 species
UACGUAGGUGGCAAGCGUUAUCCGGAUUUAUUGGGCGUAAAGGGAACGCAGGCGGUCUUUUAAGUCUGAUGUGAAAGCCUUCGGCUUAACCGGAGUAGUGCAUUGGAAACUGGGAGACUUGAGUGCAGAAGAGGAGAGUGGAACUCCAUGUGUAGCGGCGAAAUGCGUAGAUAUAUGGAAGAACCCCAGUGGCGAAAGCGGCUCUCUGGUCUGUAACUGACGCUGAGGUUCGAAAGCGUGGGUAGCAAACAGG